CUAACUGCAAGUCGAACGGAAAGGCCUCAGCUUGCUGGGGUACUCGAGUGGCGAACGGGUGAGUAACACGUGGGUGAUCUGCCCUGCACUUUGGGAUAAGCUUGGGAAACUGGGUCUAAUACCGAAUAUGACCACUUCUUGGAUGUUGUGGUGGAAAGCUUUUGCGGUGUGGGAUGAGCCUGCGGCCUAUCAGCUUGUUGGUGGGGUAAUGGCCUACCAAGGCGGCGACGGGUAUCCGGCCUGAGAGGGUGUACGGACACAUUGGGACUGAGAUACGGCCCAGACUCCUACGGGAGGCAGCAGUGGGGAAUAUUGCACAAUGGGCGCAAGCCUGAUGCAGCGACGCCGCGUGGGGGAUGAAGGCCUUCGGGUUGUAAACUCCUUUCGCUAUCGACGAAGCCACUUGUGGUGACGGUAGGUAGAUAAGAAGCACCGGCUAACUACGUGCCAGCCGCCGCGGUAAUACGUAGGGUGCAAGCGUUGUCCGGAAUUACUGGGCGUAAAGAGCUCAUAUGUGGUUUGUCGCCUCCUCUGUGAAACCCCGGGGCUUAACUUCGAGCGUGAACCCUACACCGGC
rnacentral:rRNA from 1 species